rnacentral:lncRNA from 1 species
GCUGCACCAGCCGCGGCCGUGGAUUAUGCAUCUCUCAUUUGCCCCUGGAAUAUGCUCGACGAUUUAGAUUGCACCAUUCGGUUGCAGCAAGUAAGGCAAAGUUAAAAUCUUCUGCUGGCAGUUUUAAAGAAGAUACAAUCUGCAAUUCGAAUGCGGAAUCAUAGGGGAAUUUUCGUAUUUUCUUCCCCUGUUGUUAUCUUGGAACAAAAAAGCUUUAUCCUGAUACGUACGUUCUUUCCUAUUUAUUUUCUCUUUUCCAUAGACGUGCUCUUGCACGUAAAUUCUUUUCUUGAUUAACAAUGGCUUAUCCGUUCGCGGUUGGUUGAAUUUUUUUCUAAAUUUUAAUAGAUUAAUAAUUGUUAAAAUGUAAAUACAUUUAAGGUAUAUUCGAUGAAAUUGAAAAGUUUUUCGUCAAAGAUACUGAUUUAUUUAGCGAUCGUGCAUUAAUCAAUAGUUCAAAUUAACAAUUUGUUUUUGCGAGUUCUUUCCAAAUCGUAAUAUUAGUUUAUAGUGUAAAAAAGAAAAAAAAAAAGAAAAUUCUCAAAGUAAAAUAAACUUUAACGCUCUCAUUGGUGUUUCACGUCAAAGGAAGAAACGAGCUAGGUGAAAGGAGUAUUUGAAAGGUCGGAUAGUAGAGAUCUCGAUUCGAACUUUAGAUUCUCGGAAAUAAAAUUAAUUAAAAGGGUAUGAUGUCUCGAGUGUUGUAGGCGUGUGUAUCGCUUGAUUUUCACGGGAAUGAAACACGACUUGAUUGGACGUAACUUUUUCCCACGCGAAACACAUCUAUUCUGUUACCUUACUACUUCGUGUAUCUUUUCAUGUGUUUUUUAAGGGAAAAAGAAAGGAAUAAGAAAGAGAAAAAAAAAGAUAUGAGAGAAAGAAUGUAUGUGUCUGUGUGUGUGUGUGUGUGUGUGUGAGAGAGAAAGAAUGCGAGUGAAAUUUAUGAACGCGUAGGACAUAGAAAAUCAGACGAUAUACGACUACGCGAAAGAAGUAAAAUGUAAUUUCAGUUAAAUUAUGUUUCCCAGUGUUUUAUAAAUAAAAGAAAGAAAGAAA